rnacentral:rRNA from 1 species
GACGAACGCUGGCGGCGUGCUUAACACAUGCAAGUCGAACGGAAAGGCCCUGAUAUUGUGGGGUGCUCGAGUGGCGAACGGGUGAGUAACACGUGAGUAACCUGCCCUUGACUUCGGGAUAACGUCAGGACACCGGGGCCAAUACCGGAUAGGAGCUCCUGCUGCAUGGCGGGGGUUGGAAAGUUUCGGCGGUUGGGGAUGGACUCGCGGCGUAUCAGCUUGUUGGUGGGGUAGUGGCUUACCAAGGCUUUGACGGGUAGCCGGCCUGAGAGGGUGACCAGCCGCAUUGGGACUGAGAUGCGGCCCAGACUCCUACGGGAGGCAGCAGUGGGGAAUAUUGCACAAUGGGCGGAAGCCGGAUGCAGCAGCGCCGCGUGCGGGAUGACGGCCUUCGGGUUGUAGACCGCUUUCGCCUGUGACGAAGCGUGAGUGACGGUAAUGGGUAAAGAAGCAGCGGCUAACUACGUG